CAAGACUGAAAUACCAGGAUUCCCGCCUGAAUGGGAAUGAGUAGCCUUGCAGUUCUGCAACUUGGCAUUGUGCCACAUAUAUAGCACCUUAGCGGUGCUUGAACCUUCUCCCAACUGAACCAUGUGGGUUUCAUACAAUAUUUGCCUCAUGGCCCCACAUAUUUCUUCUAUUUCUUUGCCGUAAAGAACUCAUCUUCUUCUUCUUCUUCGUUGUACUUAGGCCUGAUGAAUAUUUUGUAGAGAUAUGGAACAGGCUCAAGUAAAAUCCAAUCAUUGCAUUCGUUCAUCUGCCCAUGUCACAUCAACUUUUGUGGCAUGAAACCCACACAAAAAAAUUUCUCACUGGUAGAUAAAGUGAUGAGUUCAG
rnacentral:lncRNA from 1 species